rnacentral:rRNA from 1 species
UGUGCCAGCAGCCGCGGUAAUACGGAGGGUGCAAGCGUUAAUCGGAAUUACUGGGCGUAAAGCGCACGCAGGCGGUCUGUCAAGUCGGAUGUGAAAUCCCCGGGCUCAACCUGGGAACUGCAUUCGAAACUGGCAGGCUAGAGUCUUGUAGAGGGGGGUAGAAUUCCAGGUGUAGCGGUGAAAUGCGUAGAGAUCUGGAGGAAUACCGGUGGCGAAGGCGGCCCCCUGGACAAAGACUGACGCUCAGGUGCGAAAGCGUGGGGAGCAAACAGGAUUAGAAACCCCAGUAGUCCA